GGGCUGCCCAUAUACUAAAAUUUGAACAGAGAUUAAUUAGCACAGCCUUUUCACAAAAAUGACAUGCAGAUUUGUGAAGCAUUCCAAAUUUAA
ensembl:snRNA U6 U6 spliceosomal RNA